rnacentral:rRNA from 1 species
AUAGGGGAGCCGGAGGGAAACCGAGUCUUAACCGGGCGUUAAGUUGCAGGGUAUAGACCCGAAACCCGGUGAUCUAGCCAUGGGCAGGUUGAAGGUUGGGUAACACUAACUGGAGGACCGAACCGACUAAUGUUGAAAAAUUAGCGGAUGACCUGUGGCUGGGGGUGAAAGGCCAAUCAAACCGGGAGAUAGCUGGUUCUCCCCGAAAGCUAUUUAGGUAGCGCCUCGUGAAUUCAUCUCCGGGGGUAGAGCACUGUUUCGGCUAGGGGGCCAUCCCGGCUUACCAACCCGAUGCAAACUGCGAAUACCGGAGAAUGUUAUCACGGGAGACACACGGCGGGUGCUAACGUCCGUCGUGAAGAGGGAAACAACCCAGACCGC